CUUGGUUAUACGGAUCCCUUUUUUUUACCCGGAAACAAAACACAAGGAAAUUUCCUACCCAUCUUUCUAGACCCUUUCUUACCUAAACCCUAAUUUUGUUCCAGCCGCACACACACAUUCACCCUCUCUUAUCUGUACUCUCCAUUGGUUAGUACAUUAACUGCAUAAUUUGAUGUUAAUGGAUUACUCAUUCAUGUUUGUGUUCGAUUAGGGUUUGGUUGCUUCAUCCUGUGGAGAUUUAUGGUUUCUUGCAAGAUAUGAACCUUACAUCGUUGAUGUCAUCACAUCUCUUUUAAACCCUAAUUGCUUUAUUACAGGAUUACUCAUUCAUGUUUGAGUUCGAUUAGGGUUUGGUUUCCCUCUUCUCACUAGCGCAACAAAAAGGGACAUCUACACUAUCAAAGUUCGUAUAAUCAAAUUGUGGAGGCAACCUUCGUUUAAGGUCCCUGGGGAAUCGUAUGCAAUUGAG